CACAAGCGGUGGAGUAUGUGGUUUAAUUCGAUGCAACGCGAAGAACCUUACCUGGUCUUGACAUCCCGGAGACCCUUAGGAAACUAGGGGGUGCUUCCAUCUGGAAGAAUCCGGAGACAGGUGCUGCAUGGCUGUCGUCAGCUCGUGUCGUGAGAUGUUGGGUUAAGUCCCGCAACGAGCGCAACCCUUGCCUUUAGUUGCCAGCAGUUCGGCUGGGCACUCUAAAGGGACUGCCGGUGUUAAACCGGAGGAAGGUGGGGAUGACGUCAAGUCCUCAUGGCCUUUAUGACCAGGGCUACACACGUACUACAAUGGCCGAUACAAAGGGCAGCGACACUGCGAGGUGAAGCCAAUCCCGUAAAAUCGGUCUCAGUCCGGAUUGGAGUCUGCAACUCGACUCCAUGAAGUUGGAAUCGCUAGUAAUCGUGGAUCAGCAUGCCACGGUGAAUACGUUCCCGGGCCUU
rnacentral:rRNA from 1 species